CUCACAUGGGAAGAUUGACAUAGUCAUAUUCAAUUUGGAAAUGACUAAAUUUUCUGUAGACACUGCUGGACAAGUCAUCGAGCAAGGAAUUGAUGGGGAGCUGCAGCGGAAUGGAUGUGCAUAGCACAUCCACUGAAUUAUUAUUUUUGAGGAAGAACUUGAGAGGUCAGAUGUCUGUCUACUUCUUUCAUGUCACAAGAUUUCAUUAUAAAGAAUAACUCACUACAAAUCACAUUCUUCUCCAAAAAGCAGAGCUAACUCCAAAUUAUGUGACAGCGGACGGGGUGUGCAGAGCAAGAGGAAGUAUGACUGUGCUUCCUGGAAGCAGAAGCUGUUUGGCCCCAUCUUUGCAUCCUUGUGCCUGGCACACAGAAGGUAUUCAAUGAUAGUUAUUCACUAGGUAAAUCUAGCUUGUAGAUCUCUUCUUUGGGUAUGAUUGAUUGC
rnacentral:lncRNA from 1 species